AAGCUGCGUUACACGGUGUGAAUUGCAGGACACGCCGAGCACUAGAUUUUCGAACGCAUAUUGCAGCUUCGAGUAAACUACUCGGAGCUACGUCUGUCUGAGGGUCGGAAGAAAUUCUUACCCCUGGUAAUGGUUCGUGUGAGGUGUGCCCCAUCAGCGGUGACUUUGCCGAACUCCAGAUGCACGUUGCGAGCCAAUUCCGAUGCGAUCGGUACUGGCGCGGCCCCACGGGUGUUGCGCUCGGUGCUUGAUACGCGGCGGGUUAAAGGUGGCGACUGUGUUACUUGAGACACUUAGGCGGCGCGGCUUCGGCUUAGCGUCGUCGUCGACUUUUUUACAAUUGUCGACCUCAGAUCAGACGAGAUUACCCGCUGAAUUUAA
rnacentral:misc_RNA from 1 species